rnacentral:misc_RNA from 1 species
CGUCGCGCCCAUCCCUCCCCGCGCGCGCCGCGGGUGCUGGGAUGGGGGUGGAUGGUGGCCUCCCGUUCGUCCCCCCCCCGGGAUGAUCGGCCGGCCGAAAACGAGGUCAGUUGCCCCCCUCGGCAUCGGGACGCAGCGGGAAUCGGUGGUUGUGGGGGUGGUCCGACUUCUCAUCCCCCCGGUGCGGUCCCAGAGGUAGAUGGUUCGAGGUGGGGGCGGAUCUUGGCGUACGGGCGAACGAUCGUCGCCCUCGACG